rnacentral:rRNA from 1 species
GAAAUGCGAUACGUAAUGUGAAUUGCAGAAUUCAGUGAAUCAUCGAAUCUUUGAACGCACCUUGCGCCCCUUGGCAUUCCGAGGGGCACACCCGUUUGAGUGUCGUGAUAUCAUCAAAGCCUUUUUCUCCUUUGAUCCUUUUGGGUUCCAGGAAAAAAGGAUUUUGGACUUGGAGGGACAAUGCUCGCCUUUAAAUGCAAAGGUGGAGCUCCUCUCAAAUGAAUCAGUGGGGUCCACUUUGCUGAUCCUUGACGUGAUAAGAUGUUUCAACGUCUUGGAUCUGGCACUGUCAACCGCUUCUAACUGUCUUAUGGACGACGAUGGUGCUCUGGUCACCGCCACCGACAUCGGUGGGGGGAGGGCUGGACCCACGAAAACCCUUGACCUCAAAUCGGGUGAGACUACCCGCUGAACUUAA